ensembl:lncRNA
CGGGAUAAGGCUCCGAAAAGAAAUUAGAAUGCAUUGAACUUCUUAAGUUGUAAACAAAGUCAGUCACAUAAGCACUCCCGCAUGUUCUGGAUACGUGAUCAUGGACGUCUUCACCGAUUCGCGGACGUAGGUUACACGUAACCGGAAAUGGGAGUUGUACUGAGCCGUUAUUUGAGACUUUAUUUUGUAUUUUAUUAAUUUUUGGUUUUACAGGUACUUUAGAUUUUUUAUCGGACCUGUCUGUGGUCUUUGAAUAAUUCUGACCCAUGUUCAGUGAUUUCCAGAGGGGUUUACACGCUAGGAGGAUUUAGGUUAGUAUUUUCGCUGCGGCACAGCUGAGGUCACUUUAAAUUUAUUGCUAGCAAUUUUUUGUUUGUGUGAGCAACUCUCACUUAACGAGCAACUUCUCGUAAAACAACAGGCAACUUCCUGUGUCUUUCUGCUUUUAAUUUACUGCUUUUAACCCUUGUAUGGUAAUCGGGUCUGUGAGACCCGUUUUCAGUUUUCUUUCGUUUUUUUUUUUUUAACAAAAUUAAAUUUAAUUAUUUACUAGCUUUCUGUGAGUGAGCAACUUCUCACUUUUUAACGUACGUUUCAAGAUAACAGGCAACUUCCUGUGUCCACCAACACCACACAAGGGUUAAUUUACUUUAUUCGGGGACUGAGGAAGUCAUCAGUGUAUCUCUCUGGAUCACUAAGUGAAACUUCGUCAGCAUAUCCCGUUUUUUUAUGGAUCGAUCACUGAGAGAGGUAUAAUAGGUCUUUAUAUAAAUAUGAAAG